rnacentral:tRNA from 1 species
GGGGAUAUAGCUCAGUGGCACAGUGUCUGCCUGGCAAGCACAAGGUCCUGAGUUCAAUUCUCGGUACCA